UCAGGACUGAUUUGGGAUGCCUGCCCCGUAGCCAUAUAGGUGCGACAUAGCUUUGCUGAUAAAACUUUUGAAUCAUUAGUUCGUAUGAUGCACGUGUUUUAUUUAAUACUGCGAUAAGCUUAUACGUGCUCCAGUGCACCAUACACGAGCGCGUGAACCAUAACCUGGAAUUGUUUCACCAUCUCAAAAUAGGGCACCAGUAAGCGUAAAGGGUGCUGAUCAAACGCGGCCAUGGGGUUGUGCCGAAGACGCUCGCUGGCCACGAAGGCGCUGGUGGCUGUCCCGGUGAUAUGGAUGGUGUUCUUCGUCUUCUUCCUGGUGGACCGGCGUGACUCCAAGCCCGACCCACCUGAUGCAGGCCCGCGUGCCGGAGCCCUCCGUAACGCGCGCCGGGAGAUCAACAAUAUACUCGAUCGCAGUGCGGAGAAGGCCUUCGAGCCAGCCCCUCGAUGGGACCCGGCCGUGGCGGACGUGGUGGCGCGCCGCCCCAAGACUGCGGCGCCGUCGUCAGGCCAGCGGUCCGAGCAACGGCACUUCCUGCUUCCUCCGCAGGAGCCCAAUGGCCCCGGGGAGCUGGGCAAGCCAGUGUUGAUGCCGGCCAACCUCACAGAGGAGCAGCGACGCCUCGUGGAGCAGGGCUGGACCAAUAACGCGUUCAACCAGUACGUCAGCGACCUUGUCUCGGUUCACAGAACGCUACCCGACGUCCGUGAUGACAAGUGCCGGGAGACACAGCAGUGGGGCCGACUGCCCAACACGGCCGUCAUAGUAUGCUUCCACAACGAGGCGUGGUCGGUGCUCAUACGAACCGUCCACUCGAUCCUGGACCGGUCGCCAGUCGAGCUGCUCAAGGAGGUUAUCCUGGUAGACGACUUCUCCGACAUGGAGCACCUGGCUGCGCCGCUGGAGCAGUACCUGGCGCCGUACCGGCAGGUGCGGGUGGUACGCACCAGCAAGCGGGAGGGCCUGAUCCGCGCCCGGCUACUCGGCGCCCGCCACGCCACGGCCGACGUGCUCACCUACCUCGACAGCCACUGCGAGUGUACCGAGGGCUGGCUGGAGCCGCUGCUGGACCGGAUCGCCCGGAACCGGACAACCGUGGUGUGUCCAGUCAUCGACGUGAUCGACGACACCACGCUGGAGUACCACUUCCAGCGGGCCAGCGGGACGUCUGUGGGUGGCUUCGACUGGAACCUGCAGUUUACCUGGCACUCGAUCCCGGAGCGCGAGAAGCGGCAGCACCCGUUCGCCUCCGAUCCCGUGGCGUCGCCGACGAUGGCCGGCGGCCUGUUCGCCAUCGACCGGCGCUGGUUCGAGAUGCUGGGCACCUACGACCAGGGCUUCGACAUUUGGGGCGGCGAGAAUCUCGAGCUCAGCUUCAAGACCUGGAUGUGCGGCGGCCGGCUGGAGAUCGUGCCCUGCAGCCACGUGGGCCACAUCUUCCGGAAGCGCUCGCCGUACAAGUGGCGCUCUGGUGUGAACGUGCUGCGUCGCAAUAGCAUCCGGCUGGCCGAGGUCUGGAUGGACGACUAUAAAAAGUACUUCUACCAGAGAAUUGGCUUCGAUCUGGGGGACUUUGGUGACGUCUCGUCGCGCAAGGCUCUCCGCCAGCGGCUGCAGUGCAAGUCUUUCCAGUGGUACCUGGACACCAUCUACCCGGAGCUGUUCAUUCCCGGUGAUGCCGUCGCCAGCGGAGAGAUUCGGAAUGAAGCGACUCAGAUAUGCGUGGACUCACCGUGCGAGCAUACGGACCUGUAUAAGCCGGUGGGAACGUACCCGUGCCACCUGCAGGGUGGUAAUCAGUUCUGGAUGCUGAGCAAGGCGGGCGAGAUUCGGCGUGACGAGGCGUGUCUGGACUUCGCCGGCGCCGACGUCGUGCUCUACCCUUGCCACGGCGGCAAGGGCAACCAGAUGUGGGAAUACGAGCCGGUGUCACGGCACAUAAAACACGUCGCGAGCAACCGAUGCCUGGGAAUUGCUGCGGACAAGACUAAAAUCGUCAUGGAGGAGUGUGAACCGGACCACGGGAGGAUGCGAUGGAUCUUGCAGAAUUACGACCCUGCCAAGCUUUCAUAACGUCUCCGCAUUGUGUCAGCUAGCUUCGACUUCACGUCUGGGGAUGUGGAAGAUGGGGCCGGGUCACCCAUUCCACCAACCUCCGCUGGAGGUGGCCUGCACCGCCGCUGGACAGUGUUCAAGCGGCCGGACCGAUCCAACGGUCCUCAGGAUCCGCUGGAGGUGGUUUCCACCGCCGCUGGACAGUGUUCAAGCGGCCGGACCGAUCCAACGGUCCUCAGGAUCCGCUGGAGGUGGUUUCCACCGCCGCUGGACAGUGUUCAAGCGGCUAGACCGGUCCAGGGGUCCGUAGGAUCCCCUGGAGGCCUUCUCUACCGC
rnacentral:misc_RNA from 1 species